AUUGAACGCUGGCGGCAGGCCUAACACAUGCAAGUCGAGCGGAUAAAGAGAGCUUGCUCUCUGAUUCAGCGGCGGACGGGUGAGUAAUGCCUAGGAAUCUGCCUGGUAGUGGGGGACAACGUUUCGAAAGGAACGCUAAUACCGCAUACGUCCUACGGGAGAAAGCAGGGGACCCCCGGGCCUUCCGCUAUCAGAUGAGCCUAGGUCGGAUUAGCUAGUUGGUGAGGUAAUGGCUCACCAAGGCGACGAUCCGUAACUGGUCUGAGAGGAUGAUCAGUCACACUGGAACUGAGACACGGUCCAGACUCCUACGGGAGGCAGCAGUGGGGAAUAUUGGACAAUGGGCGAAAGCCUGAUCCAGCCAUGCCGCGUGUGUGAAGAAGGUCUUCGGAUUGUAAAGCACUUUAAGUUGGGAGGAAGGGCAGUAAGUUAAUACCUUGCUGUUUUGACGUUACCGACAGAAUAAGCACCGGCUAACUCUGUGCCAGCCGCCGCAGUAACAC
rnacentral:rRNA from 1 species